rnacentral:rRNA from 1 species
UGCAUGAAGUCGGAAUCGCUAGUAAUCGCGAGUCAGCAUAUCGCGGUGAAUACGUUCCCGGGUCUUGUACACACCGCCCGUCACACCAUGGGAGUCGGCAACACCCGAAGUCGAUGAGCUAACCUUUUAGGAGGCAGUCGCCUAAGGUGGGGUUGAUAACUGGGGUGAAGUCGUAACAAGGUAAC